UACGGAGGGUGCAAGCGUUGUUCGGAAUCAUUGGGCGUAAAGCGCACGUAGGCGGGUUUGUAAGUUGAUUGUGAAAUCCCAGGGCUCAACCUUGGAAUUGCAGUCAAAACUGCAGAUCUUGAAUACUUGAGAGGGUGGGAGAAUUCCUGGUGGAGAAGUGAAAUGCGUAGAUAUCUGGAGGAACACCGGUGGCGAAGGCGGCCCUCUGGUCCAGUACUGACACUCAAGUGCGAAAGCGUGGGGAGCAAACAGG
rnacentral:rRNA from 1 species